CUGCGGGCGGAGGGCGGAGCCGCCGCUGUCGCUGUUCCUGGUGCUGAUCGCGGGGAGGCACGUUGUGGCCGAGCGCACCCGGGGUCCGGACCGAGGGGCGCGGGACGCGAGGAAGCCCUGGAAAGGACUAGCUGCGGAGCCAGGCCGGGCCGGCGAUGCCUCCCGCUGCUGCGAUUUCUUCCGGCGACCGAUCGCCCCCGGCCUUAGGGGCGCAUCCGGGCCCCGAGGAGGCCGAGCUUUGAGGCUCGGAGGCCUCCUUCCGCCGCGGCCGCGCAGGAGGGCACAGGGCCCGGGUCGCCCGCCCUUGCGCUCUGCGGCCCCGCUUCGGCUCGCUUCCUCCCCCGCCGGCCGCCAUGGCCUGCGCCGCCCGGAAGGGCGCGGGCCCGGAGCGCAGGCGGCCGCCGCCCCCGGGGCUGCGCGCGCUGCUGCUGCUCUGCCUGUGGCUGCCGAGCGGUCGCGCCUCGGGCCCGGCCCCCGCGACGCUGUCCGAGCUGCACACGCAGCUCUCGGGCGUGGAGCAGCUGCUCGGGGAGUUCCGCCAGCAGCUGCAGCAGGAGCGGCCGCAGGAGGAGCUGGAGCUGGAGCUGCGCGCGGGCGGCGGCGCUCCGCCCGGCUGCCCCGGCCCGGGCGGCGGCGGCUACAGCGUCAUGCCCGACGUCAUCAUCCGCACCAAGGACUCCCUCGCGGCGGGCGCCAGCUUCCUGAGCGCGCCGGCGGCCGUGCGGGACGGGCGGCAGUGCGUGGCGGCCUGCUGCUCCGAGCCGCGCUGCUCCGUGGCCGUGGUGGAGCUGCCCCGCCCGCCCGCGCCCCCGGCCGCCGCGCUCGGCUGCUUCCUCUUCAACUGCACGGCGCGCGGCCGCAACGUCUGCAGGUUCGCGCUGCACCGCGGCUACAGCAGCUACAGCCUCAGCCGCGCGCUGGAAGGGCAGCGAGACCUGGCAGCAGGCUUCCCGGCGCCCGCCCGGGCCUCGCCGCGGCUGGAAAAAGAUGAGCCCCCACUUAGCAAGGCCGGGGACGAUGUGGUUCUGCGUCUGCCCACAGACGGGCUGGUUUUGGACGGCCGCGAGAGCACAGACGACCACGCCAUCGUCCAGUACGAGUGGACACUGCUGCAGGGUGACCCGUCAGUGGACAUGAAGGUGCCUCAGUCAGGGACGCUGAAGCUGUCCCACCUGCAGGAAGGACGGUACACCUUUCAGCUCACCGUGACGGACACUGCGGGGCAGAGGAGCGCCGACAACGUCUCGGUGACCGUGCUGCCCCCGGCCUUCCCCACGCGAGGAUGCUCAAAGGUUUGCUCACGCCACCACUUCUUUUGUGACGACGGCUGUUGCAUUGACAUCACACUGGCUUGUGAUGGAGUGGAGCAGUGUCCUGACGGAUCUGAUGAAGCUUUCUGUCAAAAUUUGAGCCUUGACCGGGAGACGGAGACUCACAUGGUGACUGCCCAGCCUAGAACCAUAGCAGCGAGCGAAGAUGCAGCAGGGCACUUCUUGGAGAAGUCUCAGAAAGCCGCUGCCCCACAGCCGCCACCUGCGUUACCAGACACGGAGAGGAAUCAUUCCACCUCCUGGGGACCAAAGAUUCAAACUGACCCCCUGAUGCCAGAUAGUGAUUCCUCGGGGAAAAACGAAAAAGAAGAAAAUUAUAUUUUUGAGUCAAAGAGCAAUCGAGGAGGAGGGGAACACCCAGCCCCAGAAAUAGCCUUUGUUUGGUACCCAACAGUCACAGCCACAACUUCCACAUCCCCUCCUCCUGUGCCAGACACUCCCAGGCACAAUCUUCUUCAGUUGAUGCCAUUAGUAUGUACUCAGCUCCAGGUCCUCUCGUCUUGGAGAGGAGACCACUCUACCUGGAACCAGUUUUAAGCCUGGAAAAAUCAAAGCCAUCAGGAGUGAACUUCCUCAGCUCCCUCCGAUUGUGCAGUGCUGCCACUGACACUGGGCUUGGCCAUCACUGCGUUGCUGCUUCUCAUGGUUGCCUGCCGACUACGCCUGCUCAAACAGAAACUGAAGAAAGCUCGUCCCAUUACAUCUGAGGAAUCUGACUAC